AUACGGAGGAUCCAAGCGUUAUCCGGAUUUAUUGGGUUUAAAGGGUGCGCAGGCGGAAGAUUAAGUCGGCGGUGAAAUUUUGCAGCUCAACUGUAAAAGUGCCAUCGAUACUGGUUUUCUUGAGUGUGGAUGAAGUAGGCGGAAUUUGUGGUGUAGCGGUGAAAUGCAUAGAUAUCACGAGGAACUCCGAUUGCGCAGGCAGCUUACUAGGCCAUAACUGACGCUCAGGCACGAAGGCGUGGGUAUCAAACAGGAUUAGAUACCCUGGUAGUCCACGCAGUAAACGAUGAUUACUCGCUGUUUGCGAUACACAGUAAGCGGCUUAGCGAAAGCGUUAAGUAAUCCACCUGGGGAGUACGUUCGCAAGAAUGAAACUUAAAGGAAUUGACGGGG
rnacentral:rRNA from 1 species